UACAGAGGUGGCAAGCGUUGUUCGGAAUUACUGGGCGUAAAGGGCGCGUAGGCGGCCUUCUAAGUCAGACGUGAAAUCCCCCGGCUUAACCUGGGAACUGCGUCUGAUACUGGGAGGCUUGAGUAUGGGAGAGGGAUGUAGAAUUCCAGGUGUAGCGGUGAAAUGCGUAGAUAUCUGGAGGAAUACCGGUGGCGAAGGCGGCAUUCUGGACCAACACUGACGCUGAGUGAGCGAAAGCCAGGGGAGCAAACGGG
rnacentral:rRNA from 1 species